AGAAUGAAUGCACUUGAGCUGAUUUAAGCAUCUUCCAUUGUCAGGAGAUUUCUGGUUACAUCUGUGUUUGGAGCAUGAAGACCAUAAUGGUCACUCCUGCACUGAUUCUAGCAUUCUACUGUGGCCUCAAACUCAGUUGUCUUAGGAACAUGGAGACCAGUAAUGUCUUCUCAUGGUUAAACGUCAUGGCUGGGGAGUCUCUGGAAUGGACAUGAGUGGAUAAUCAUUUUGUAAUUAUCAAGACCUUCAUGGUUCAAUGUGAGUAAUGGUCAAGUUCUUGUCUUCG